UUAAAGGGUUCCCUUUGCAAUCACGUAAUUGCAGCUCGCAAUGAAACCAUCACGAUAUAGCGGGGAUCCAGGAGCAGCAGCGAUGAAUAGAGAUGCGUUGGGGAAAGUUGUUUACUCAAAGCUGUUUGACUUGCUUGUGGACAAGAUUAAUUCUUCACUUCGUCAAGAUCGGGGGAGGUACGUAGAAGAGAUUAAGGAAGGCACUUGGAGCUAUUAAAAAUAGCACCACAAUCAAUUUGGCAAAAGUAAAUAGAGGUGGAUAUUGCAAUUGCUUGGACCACAAAUUAUGUUGAGCGCCCAACAAAGAAAAGCACGUAAAAGCUGUUUCAGCUUCAAGGCCUCAAGCUGAUGGUGCCUAUUGCAUUCAUGCUUUGGCUAGACAAUUGUCAAAGACACAACUUGGCGG